AGUGAACGCUGGCGGUAGGCCUAACACAUGCAAGUCGAACGGCAGCACAGUAAGAGCUUGCUCUUACGGGUGGCGAGUGGCGGACGGGUGAGGAAUACAUCGGAAUCUACUUUUUCGUGGGGGAUAACGUAGGGAAACUUACGCUAAUACCGCAUACGACCUACGGGUGAAAGCAGGGGAUCUUCGGACCUUGCGCGAUUGAAUGAGCCGAUGUCGGAUUAGCUAGUUGGCGGGGUAAAGGCCCACCAAGGCGACGAUCCGUAGCUGGACUGAGAGGAUGAUCAGCCACACUGGAACUGAGACACGGUCCAGACUCCUACGGGAGGCAGCAGUGGGGAAUAUUGGACAAAGGGCGCAAGCCUGAUCCAGCCAUACCGCGUGGGUGAAGAAGGCCUUCGGGUUGUAAAGCCCUUUUGUUGGGAAAGAAAAGCAGCAGGUUAAUACCCCGCUGUUCUGACGGUACCCAAAGAAUAAGCACCGGCUAACUUCGUG
rnacentral:rRNA from 1 species